rnacentral:rRNA from 1 species
UACGGGGGGGUAAGCGUUGUUCGGAAUUACUGGGCGUAAAGGGCUCGUAGGCGGCCAACUAAGUCAGACGUGAAAUCCCUCAGCUUAACUGGGAACUGCGUCUGAUACUGGAUGGCUUGGAUUCGGGAGAGGAAUGCGGAAUUCCAGGUGUAGCGGUGAAAUGCGUAGAUAUCUGGAGGAACACCGGUGGCGAAGGCGGCAUUCUGGACCGACAUUGACGCUGAGGAGCGAAAGCCAGGGAGCAAACGGG